rnacentral:sRNA from 2 species
GCUACACAGCAAUAUGCCGGGAAACAUCAGUAUCUGCAGACUUCGACUCCUUCUCGAUCACAUUCUCAUGCCUUUUCGCCGAAAGUUCCAAAAAUCGAAAUCUUUGCUUGCGGCUAUAGUUGGCCUUGGGCCUGAGCAACUCAAGUGAUACGCCACGAGAAUAAUCAAAAAGAAAAGAGCAAAAAAAGCCCCUCGGAAACUCUUACUGCUACUGUCAACGUGCACGGGAUGAAACAAAAGCACCUUGUUUCUUUCCGCCUUGCUCAUGUGUCCUCAUUAUUUUGAGACUUUUGUGUCAAAUUGACAUGUUGAACUCGGAUUUCACCGGACCCGGACGGCACAGGUAGCAAAAUCCGGCUCCGAUGAUCAAUCCUGCCAUUAUUUUUCAAUAGAAUAUUAAGAUUCUAGAUCUUAUGUUGGAGGUUGCUGUUGCCUCAGAAAUAUACCCGUACUGGUUUUUUAUGCUUUCCGUUCUGCUUGCUGCGUGUUGAAGCUGUUGUUGUUGUAGUUCCCGUUUCUGGAGCUUCAAAUCUAAGCUUGGAUCCGGCCCAAUGAGAUAAUUCGCGUAUUCAAGGAGGGUUGGAUUUGGGAAACUCGCAAGAUAUGGUAGUGUUCUUGCGACUUUGAGAGUGAUGACUAGGAGCUCCAGGCGUGCUUCGAGAACUCGCGUCUUUUAUAUUUAUGUGGCGCGUAGGGGAAAGGGGGGAAGCAAAGAUGUUAGGUUAUAACAGAUAUCAAAUAAUGAAAAACGCUAAGUAGAAUAUAAACAGUUUUG